GUGCCAGCCGCCGCGGUAAUACCGGCAGCUCAAGUGAUGUCCCAUAUUAUUGGGCCUAAAGCGUCCGUAGCUGGCUGCGCAAGUCUCCCGGAAAAUCCACCCGCCCAACGAGUGGGCGUCCGACGGAAACUGCACAGCUUGGGACCGGAAGGCUCGAAGGGUACGUUCGGGGUAGGAGUGAAAUCCCAUAAUCCCGCACGGACCACCGAUGGCGAAAGCACUUCGAGAAAACGGAUCCGACAGUGAGGGACGAAAGCCAGGGUCUCCAACCGGAUUAGAUACCCUAGUAGUCC
rnacentral:rRNA from 1 species